UGGUGGAAUCCAUACAGGGAGGCCCGGCCCGAAGGGUGGCAGUGGAACAGGAGAUAAGUGGAGCCGUGGAGAAGACCUGAUCCGCAUGAUCAAAUGGGCAGUCAGCCAGUCACUACCAGACCUGACAGCUAAAAACCGUCGGAAAUACGUGAAAACUCAUCAAGAAAUAUUUUCUAACGAUCAGCCGUCAGGAAAAAGCUCGACAGAAAAGGUUCAUUUUUCUUGACAGCUGGCCAAUAGAAAACUUUUCCCCGCGGCAAUCCGUAACCAGUCAACUUUGGUUUCUUUUUUUUUUCCUGCAGUAUAGAAUAAGAAGUAAGAUAUUCUUGAAUACUCUAGUCGGCUCAUAUACAUUUUAUUGUCACCAAUGCUGCAGCACAUUGUUAAAACUGAACUGAAAAAACAAAAUAAAUGCUGCUACACCAUGGUGCCCAAAUUCAGCACAAAGAAGGCAUAACAGUGCUAAAUUCCACAUCACAGUGCUAUUUUUUUUUUUGAAAGAUCUGGAAAACCCGGCUUUGAUUUAUCAUAAGAAGAGAACAGCAGCAACGUUUACAUGCGCGAGAAGCGCGACCACCUACAGCCUAGGCUGUGGGGGAAUAC
rnacentral:lncRNA from 1 species